UACGUAGGUGGCAAGCGUUGUCCGGAAUUAUUGGGCGUAAAGCGCGCGCAGGCGGUUUCUUAAGUCUGAUGUGAAAGCCCACGGCUCAACCGUGGAGGGUCAUUGGAAACUGGGAAACUUGAGUGCAGAAGAGAAGAGCGGAAUUCCACGUGUAGCGGUGAAAUGCGUAGAGAUGUGGAGGAACACCAGUGGCGAAGGCGACUUUCUGGUCUGUAACUGACACUGAGGCGCGAAAGCGUGGGGAGCAAACAGG
rnacentral:rRNA from 1 species